rnacentral:rRNA from 1 species
ACAUCCAGAGAACUUAGCAGGGAUGCUUUGGUGCCUUCGGGAACUCUGAGACAGGUGCUGCAUGGCUGUCGUCAGCUCGUGUUGUGAAAUGUUGGGUUAAGUCCCGCAACGAGCGCAACCCUUAUCCUUUGUUGCCAGCGGCUCGGCCGGGAACUCAAAGGAGACUGCCGGUGAUAAACCGGAGGAAGGUGGGGAUGACGUCAAGUCAUCAUGGCCCUUACGGCCAGGGCUACACACGUGCUACAAUGGCGCAUACAAAGAGAAGCGACCUCGCGAGAGCAAGCGGACCUCAUAAAGUGCGUCGUAGUCCGGAUUGGAGUCUGCAACUCGACUCCAUGAAGUCGGAAUCGCUAGUAAUCGUAGAUCAGAAUGCUACGGUGAAUACGUUCCCGGGCCUCGUACACACCGCCCGUCACACCAUGGGAGUGGGUUGCAAAAGAAGUAGGUAGCUUAACCUUCGGGAGGGCGCUUACCACUUUGUGAUUCAUGACUGGGGUGAAGUCGUAACAAGGUAAGCGUAGCGAG